AGUGAACGCUGGCGGUAGGCCUAACACAUGCAAGUCGAACGGCAGCACAGAAAGAGCUUGCUCUUACGGGUGGCGAGUGGCGGACGGGUGAGGAAUACAUCGGAAUCUACUUUUUCGUGGGGGAUAACGUAGGGAAACUUACGCUAAUACCGCAUACGACCUACGGGUGAAAGCAGGGGAUCUUCGGACCUUGCGCGAUUGAAUGAGCCGAUGUCGGAUUAGCUAGUUGGCGGGGUAAAGGCCCACCAAGGCGACGAUCCGUAGCUGGUCUGAGAGGAUGAUCAGCCACACUGGAACUGAGACACGGUCCAGACUCCUACGGGAGGCAGCAGUGGGGAAUAUUGGACAAUGGGCGCAAGCCUGAUCCAGCCAUACCGCGUGAGUGAAGAAGGCCUUCGGGUUGUAAAGCCCUUUUGUUGGGAAAGAAAAGCAGCAGGUUAAUACCCCGCUGUUCUGACGGUACCCAAAGAAUAAGCACCGGCUAACUUCGUG
rnacentral:rRNA from 1 species